AACGAACGCUGGCGGCGUGCUUAACACAUGCAAGUCGAACGCGAAAGUUUUCUUCGGAAAGCGAGUAGAGUGGCGCACGGGUGAGUAACGCGUAAGUAAUCUACCUCGGCAUCUGGAAUAACUCACCGAAAGGUGUGCUAAUACCGGAUACGUUGAGCAAUCAAGAAAGGUGGCCUCUGAAUAUGCUACUGUGCUGAGAUGAGCUUGCGUACCAUUAGCUAGUUGGUAGGGUAAUGGCCUACCAAGGCAACGAUGGUUAGCGGGUCUGAGAGGAUGAUCCGCCACACUGGAACUGGAACACGGACCAGACUCCUACGGGAGGCAGCAGUGAGGAAUAUUGCGCAAUGGGGGAAACCCUGACGCAGCGACGCCGCGUGGAUGAUGAAGGCCUUCGGGUCGUAAAAUCCUGUCAGAUGGAA
rnacentral:rRNA from 1 species